rnacentral:rRNA from 1 species
AUGCAGCAAUGCCGCGUGAGGGAUGACGGCCUCGGGCGAAACCACUCCCAGCGGGGAGGAGGGUGAAGAGAUUGUACCCGCCAAAAAAUGGCCUGCCAACUACAUGCCACCACCCGCGGUAAUACGUAGGGCGCAAGCGUUAUCCGGAAUUAUUGGGCGUAAAGAGCUCGUACGCGGUUUGUCGCGUCUGCUGUGAAAUCCCGAGGCUCAACCUCGGGUCUGCAGUGUGUACCGGCAAACUACAGUGCGGUAGGGGAGAUUGGAAUUCCUGGUGUAGCGGUGGAAUGCGCAGUGUUCAGGAGGAACACCGAUGGAUCUGGCAGAUCUCUGGGCCGUAACUGACGCUGAUGAGCGAAAGGGUGGGGAGCAAACAGGCUUAUAUACCCUGGUAGUCCACCCCGUACCCGUUGGGAACUAGUUGUGGGGUCCAUUCCACGGAUUCCGUGACCUUCUGCGCAUUAUCUUCCCCUCCUGGGGAGUACCGCCGCCGGCUAAAACUCACAGGAAUUGACGGGCUACCCGCACAUUGCGGCGGAGCAUGCGGAUUAAUUCGAUGCAACGGCGUGAGAAUCUUACCAAGGCUUGAGAUAUUCCAUACUCUCGUAAAAGUACGGAACUCUCUGAGACACUGGUGAACACGUCGUGCAUGCUUGUCGUCAUCUCGUGUCGUGAGAUUCUGCGUUGGUCUCGCAUCGAGC